UGAAUACGAAACGCUACGGCGUUGAAGCAGUCUAUGUCAUACUUCCAAGAAAAGCUUGCACUGUCAUAAACAAAUAAUGCCUGUACCAUAACCGACACAGGUGGGUAGGUAGAGUAUACUAAGGGGCGCGAGAUAACUCUCUCUAAGGAACUCGGCAAAAUGACUCCGUAACUUCGGGAGAAGGAGUGCCUUAUUUAUAAGGUUGCAAUAACAAGAUCCAAGCAACUGUUUAUCAAAAACACAGGUCUCCGCUAAGUCGUAAGACGAUGUAUGGGGGCUGACGCCUGCCCAGUGCCAGAAGGUUAAAGAAGUUGGUUAGCAUUAGCGAAGCUGAUGACUGAAGCCCUGGUGAACGGCGGCCGUAACAAUAACGGUCCUAAGGUAGCGAAAUUCCUUGUCGGGUAAGUUCCGACCCGCACGAAAGGCGUAAUGAUUUGGAUACUGUCUCGGAGAGGGGCUCGGUGAAAUAGACUUGUCUGUGAAGAUGCGGACUACCUGCACCUGGACAGAAAGACCCUAUGAAGCUUUACUGUAACUUGAAAUUGAAAUUGGACUUUAUUUGCGCAGUAUAGGUGGGAGGCGUUGAGAAUAUUCUUGCGGGAAUAUUGGAGCCACCAGUGAGAUACCACUCUUGUAAUGUUAGAUUUCUAACUUUGCAUCAUUAUCUGGUCAAAGAACAGUUUCAGGCGGGCAGUUUGACUGGGGCGGUCGCCUCCCAAAUGGUAACGGAGGCGUACAAAGGUUUCCUCUGAACGGGUAGAAAUCGUAUCUAGAGUGUAAAGGCAUAAGGAAGCUUGACUGUGAGACCUACAAGUCGAGCAGGGACGAAAGUCGGUCUUAGUGAUCUGACGGUGCUGAGUGGAAAGGCCGUCACUCAACGGAUAAAAGUUACUCUAAGGAUAACAGGCUGAUCUCCCCCAAGAGUUCACAUCGACGGGGAGGUUUGGCACCUCGAUGUCGGCUCAUCGCAUCCUGGGGCGGUAGUACGUCCCAAGGGUUGGGCUGUUCGCCCAUGAAAGCGGUACGCGAGCUGGGUUCAGAACGUCGUGAGACAGUUCGGUCCAUAUCCGGUGUAGGCGUUAGAAUAUUGAGAGGAGCCUUCUUUAGUACGAGAGGACCGAGAAGGACAUACCUCUGGUGUACCAGUUAUCGUGCCAACGGUAAACGCUGGGUAGCUAUGUAUGGAGUGGAUAACCGCUAAAAGCAUCUAAGUGGGAAGCCCACCUCAAGAUAAUUACUCUCACAGGGUUAACCUGGUAAGGUCACGGGAAGACCACCCGUUGAUAGGCACUCGGUGGAAGUCCAGCAAUGGAUGAAGCC
rnacentral:rRNA from 1 species